rnacentral:rRNA from 1 species
UACGAAGGGGGCUAGCGUUGCUCGGAAUCACUGGGCGUAAAGGGUGCGUAGGCGGGUCUUUAAGUCAGGGGUGAAAUCCUGGAGCUCAACUCCAGAACUGCCUUUGAUACUGGCAAUCUCGAGUUCGGGAGAGGUGAGUGGAACUGCGAGUGUAGAGGUGAAAUUCGUAGAUAUUCGCAAGAACACCAGUGGCGAAGGCGGCUCACUGGCCCGAUACUGACGCUGAGGUGCGAAAGCGUGGGGAGCAAACAGG